rnacentral:rRNA from 1 species
CCUACGGGCGGCAGCAGUAGGGAAUUUUGCGCAAUGGGGGAAACCCUGACGCAGCAACGCCGCGUGAUCGAUGAAGCCCUUCGGGGUGUAAAGAUCUGUCAGUGGGGACGAAACCUGACGGUACCCGCAGAAUAAGCAUCGGCUAACUCCGUGCCAGCAGCCGCGGUAAUACGGAGGAUGCGAGCGUUAUCCGGAUUUAUUGGGUUUAAAGGGUGCGUAGGCGGAUUUUUAAGUCAGCGGUAAAAUGUCCGGGCUCAACCCGGGUCGGCCGUUGAAACUGGGGAUCUUGAGUGGGCGAGAAGUAUGCGGAAUGCGUGGUGUAGCGGUGAAAUGCAUAGAUAUCACGCAGAACUCCGAUUGCGAAGGCAGCAUACCGGCGCCCGACUGACGCUGAGGCACGAAAGCGUGGGGAUCGAACAGGAUUAGAUACCCGAGUAGUC